UUGGGAACAUAAACUUGAUUUAGUGCUAUUUUUGUCUUUUUUUUUAAAUCUAACAAUAAAUCUUAUAAAUAUGCUACAUAAGUUAAACACCGUCACCCACUUUCAUUGGUUACUCCUGGGUAACGGUGGCUCUUCAGCACAUGGUCCCUCGUUUAGCUAAUAGUUCCCAUCUUUUAAUGUCGAUGAUACACAUGCCCAAAAUAUAAACAUGAUACACAAACUGAGGGACCAUGUCCCUCGAAAGGCUCAUUUUCUCUUGAUAUGCCACCAUAUCGUCUCCGGCCCGUGCCUCAGUUGGAGAAAAUGAGGCUUUCGCCUAAGGCAUCGAAUUUUUUUUUUAAAAAACAAUAGGGCAUCUUUUCAUUAGUUAAUGUUUAUAAUUAAGGUAUUUUGUUAAUUGUAUAAUUUUAAUAUAAAUAAUUAAAGAUGUCUACAUACAUCGAUUUAGAUAAACUGAAUAUGGGUUUAGAUGAAGUGGGUUUAGAUGAAGUGAAUUAUACAAAGCUCAUGAUUGGUCUCGUGGUAACUUGAUAACAUUUUAACAGUUUUAGAGAAUUUUCAUCAUUCUUUAUGUCUAUCUUUUAAUAGCAAUUAGAGGUAAAUUUAUUCCAAUCCAUCUAUAUAUUUUUUAUAAAUAAAGAUUGUUAAUGCACUAAAAAAAUAAAAUAAAAAUUGAUAUUUUUCUUUUAUAAAUAGAAAAAGAAAUAACAAAUCCUUAUUUUUAAUUGUUAUAAUUAGAGAUUGUUAUUUUUAAGUAAUACGUUGGAGUAAACUCUACGUUAUUAUAGAAUUCUUCUAUUUAUAGGUUAACCAGUCUUAAUAGUUAAAUAAUCAAAUUAAAAUUACUAAUAAUGGAGUAAUGAAAUUAUGGUUUGCUCAAAAAAAAAAUUACUAACAAUGGAUAAUGCUAUAGAUAUAAAAUUUAAAAUAUUAAAUUCAAGAAAAUUAUUAAAAUUAAAUUUAGUUUGUUAGUUCUUAUUACUUUUGUAAUGCAAUGAUAGUAUUUAAUAUAGUAAUUAAAAAAACUGAGGCAUUUUAUUUCAAACCGCUUACAUUAGUCGUGAGUGUUCGCACAGCUCUGCAUAUCGUGUGAUGUACCUUAGCCAAUAAAGAAGAGUCGUUUUACGUGUUGAGAAAGAGCAAAAAUAUCGAAUCGUGUCAUGUGUUGCGCUCCAUCCCCGAUCUUCCAUCAGCACAUAAAUUUUGUGUUGGUUGAACUGUUUUCAUACUAUAAAUCACAACUGACGUAACCUAAAAGGCUAAAACCAUCAUCCAAACUAUUAUUUGUUCAAAACAAAAAUACCAAAAGGUGAAAUUGUAACAUAAUUGUAAAAUAAUUCAAACCUAAUUUGGGCUAUAUUCAUGCAUUUACGUGAUAUUGUAAUAUUCUUUCUUUGUUGGGUAGGUAUACUCAAAGAAGAAGAAAAAAAGUCGGUAUACUCAAAAAUUUUUAAUGGAGGUAUCAUUUAUUAUUUUUCAACAAAAAUGUAACUGCAAAAUAAUAGAAUGCGAGUUAAUUUUGUUAAAAUAUACUUCUAGCUUAAAAAUGUCGAAACCUAACAAAUAAAACGACACGAUGAAUGAAUAAUGAAAUAUAUGUGCGGAAUGUAAACACAAUCUGGCUACUUCAACUAGUUUUGUUAGCAUUUAAAGUACCAAAAAAUAGAUCGAUAAUAAUUCAUGUCCGUAUAUCUUUAUAUAUAAAAGAAGCAUUGUAUCCCUCCAGAGGUUGCUAGCUCGGAUGCCAUGUCGGAAAUAGGAGCUCUACCGCGUUGACACGUCGGAUCCGCACCGUUUCACUAAAGCUUUGUUCUGUCCGAACGGGCUUCACGUGGGCUUCGUGUUGCGCUUAGUCUGCGGCCCAUCGACCACAAGCUUCUACGGAAACCCUAAUAUUGCGAUGCGAACCCCUUUGUGUUCUUCGUUUCUCUUUGAUCGCGCAGUGACGAUCCAGUUAUCUAAGCAGCACACUACUUGGUCAUCCUAUCCAUCAGUUGCGAUUGCAUUCGGUAUAUAUAUGCACCUCACGGAACCCUCAAACAAUCUAAUCCUUCCACAAUCUUCUUCAGAUCCUCUUUUAUCUUCUUUCUCCGUUAGAAGCGAUUGUUUCUAAGAGACAUCUUAAUUGACAUUUCAUCCUAGAUUCUUAUUAAUGGCAGUCUGUAAGUUAAAUUUCCCUUUUUGUUCUUUCUGUGCACAUGGAAUUUACAUUUGCUCUUUUUUUUUGCAUCUAUGCUUGACGUUUGAAAAUCUGAAUCCGAUUUUAAAGUCAUGGAUCUGGAAAUUAAUGAUGCGCUGGCGAUGGAAAUUUGUCAUGAUACCAGCAUAAAUUCACGGGACGGUUGGCGUUCCUCUCCAGUGUGUAAGUUUACGGAAACAUAACACUUUUUCAUUCUUUAUGAAUCUACAAGAAAUAAAAGAAUCUUUGUGAUAUACAAUUGUGAUUGAUCUUUAACAGGCUAAGUUGUUUACAUUCAGAUAGAAUCGUUCAUCGUUAUAUGAAAAAGAUACAUGCUUUUGGAUUAACAGAGCAAUCUAUGGCUUGCUAAUUUUGGAGUGGCUAGGAUUGGAGCUCAGAAUCCAAAUGACAUGACUGAAGAAACUGGUACUCUUGGAUACGUGGCUCCAAAGUGAGAACGUCUCAGCCGAGAAGAUCAAGAGUUGAUGCAGAAGCUUCCUGAUUCCAGCAAAUCAAACGCCGUUGAACAACAUAAAAUCUGUUUCACCCAAUUCAAAACUCUCCUUCUUUUACAGGAUUCAUUUGGUAAGAAGCUGAUGGAUAGGAUCCGGCCAACCCAACCCCGGUUCCUGCACAGUACUCUUCGUCCGCCUCUACCACGGUGUCUCAACCCAACUCCGGUUCCUGCCAUGUUGAUGCAGAUCCACAGCGACACUAUAGGUGUUGCCGAAUCUGCACUUUAAUCCUCCUAAGUUCAAUUUCAUGCCGCAAAUUUAGAGACACAGUGUGACCUUCUUUUUCUCUCUGUUCAUAUACACUUGGAUAUGUAAUAUAGGAAAUUAAAAAUGCUUCUCUUUUGUUGUUCUAUGUGACCAGAAAAGACAGAACUCUGAACAAGUAGAAGAACAAGAUCCACUUAUUAGUUGUUGUUCUUCUUUGAUGUAGUUGAACACAGUUUUGUAUGUUGGAAAUGACUUUGAUCGGCCAGUUUUGUAAAGAGUACACUAAUUAGCUGACGCCUUGGAUCAUGUUAGGUUUUGCUCUUAUUCACUGCUUUUUAACCACUCUUCUGGUGAAAAUUAUAUACACUGGUAUACCUUCCUUCUUCUUCAAUCCAUUUGUUUGAUUCAGUUAAUCUUCUUUUAUUUCUUAGUCUUCUUCUUUUAACUGUGUAGCUAAGGAAGAGUUCGAGAAUCUGUGUUUAAUUCUUGGUAUUGAGCUUGAUGCCGUGGUAAGUCCAGCGUAUCUUUUUUUUUUCCCUUGAUUAGCAUCUGUGUUUUGCAAUGACUACUAGACAACUGAGAAAGCAAUCAUCAGGGAAAAAAAAGCAUAUAGAAGAAGAAGAAGCUGAUGAUGACGAAGAAAUCAUCUACAAAUAAUAUAUCAAUCUGGUUGUGUAGUGUAUAUACAUUGGUAUAUAUUUAUAUAUGAUAUUUUUAAACAAAUUUCGAGACUAAUGUUUAGGUUAAAUUUUAAAAGCAAUAAAAUCAGUCAAAUGUAUUAUAAACAAUCUACAAAAAUCAUAUUCGUGAAGUAAUU